UGGGGAAUUUUGGACAAUGGGGGAAACCCUGAUCCAGCCAUCCCGCGUGUGCGAUGAAGGCCUUCGGGUUGUAAAGCACUUUUGGCAGGGAAAGAAACGUCGCGGGUUAAUACCCCGCGAAACUGACGGUACCUGCAGAAUAAGACCGGCUAACUACGUGCCAGCAGCCGCGGUAAUACGUAGGGUGCAAGCGUUAAUCGGAAUUACUGGGCGUAAAGCGUGCGCAGGCGGUUCGGAAAGAAAGAUGUGAAAUCCCAGAGCUUAACUUUUGGGAACUGCAUUUUUAACUACCGGGCUAGAGUGUGUCAGAGGGAGGUGGAAUUCCGCGUGUAGCAGUGAAAUGCGUAGAUAUGCGGAGGAACACCGAUGGCGAAGGCAGCCUCCUGGGAUAACACUGACGCUCAUGCACGAAAGCGUGGGGAGCAAACAGGAUUAGAUACCCUGGUAGUCCACGCCCUAAACGAUGUCAACUAGCUGUUGGGGCCUUCGGGCCUUGGUAGCGCAGCUAACGCG
rnacentral:rRNA from 1 species